ACGUGUUUCUUUGAGCUUUGUGCGUGCUUCUUCCAUGUCGGUUUGGUGCGCCAUUUUGUCUUUUUUUUUGCGUGGCGUGCGAGUGCCUGUGCAACGCGCGUGUGUGCUUUGGAGCUGCAGCCUCAAGUCGAGUGCACGGGUAAAGGUUCACAGGACAGGUCUGAAAGGUCAACCUCAAUCAUAUUUGGCUGUGGAUAUCGCUGCAACUUUGGCACUCGACCAAGCGAGGUACAUUGGACAGAUCAACCGGACCAAAAGGCGG